GUGGGUAUAGCUCAGUUGGUUAGAGCGUCAGGUUGUGGCCCUGAAGGUCGAGGGUUCGAAUCUCUUUACUCACCCCA
rnacentral:tRNA from 1 species